AGAGAGAGAGAUGGGUACUUUGCAUCCUAAUUUAGUUACACAACAACAUCAUCAUCAUCACCAUAUCAAGAGCGUCCUCCUCUUCCAAUGGCUCAAACUCAUGAGCCAACCAAGAAGCCAUUAGAUGCUGGAGCUCUCUUCGUUCUCAAAUCCAAAGGUUCAUGGCUACACUGUGGUUAUCAUAUGACGACAUCCAUAGUGGCUCCACCAGUGCUAACUAUACCAUUCGUAGUGGCCUCUCUGGGUUGGAUAGGGGGAGUUUUGUUUCUGAUGAUAGCAGCCAUGGUGAAUUUUUAUUCUUACAACCUCGUCUCUCUGGUUCUUGAACACUAUGCCCACAAGGGCAAGCGUUUCCUUCACUUCAGAGACAUGGUCCACGACAUCUUGGGUACAUACAUCUAAUCCUUCCAUCAUGCUCCAUUUCAUCUUCUUCCUUACAUGUUAUGAUGCGUUUUAAAACCAUGAAAUCCACCUAUCAAAGCGAGCAAUAUUGUGCCAUGGAUGAAGCAAUCAGGCGACCCUUCAUUGGUAUCAAAGUCAGAGAUGUGAAUGACUGUUGUUGGAAUGUAGAUUCAUAGAAAUACACAUGAAUGAUGUGGCCUCCUUUAUAUGAUAUGGCGUGGUUUGAUAUCAUGAGACUCACUUGUCAUUGACAGUUGGUAUAAAGCUUAAGGGAAUUUUUUUUUU